UCGAGCGGGGGGCUUUCGAGCUGCUAACGUGGCAGGACUGGUGAGGAACGAGUGGGGAACCUCCCCUGGGGUUGGUCGUAGCCCGCGGAAACGCUAGGGUAAUUCCGCGAUCCGCUGGCCGGCUGAUAGGGCUGGUCAGGAAAGCCUUUCGGGCCCCUAGGGAGGGACGUGCGGCGAUUAGCUAGUUACGGAGUGGUUAACACAUACCAAGGCAUGAUCGUGAGCUGGCUCAGAGGACGCAGCACACGGG
rnacentral:rRNA from 1 species